AAGCCAUGGUGUGUACAUCUCCUUUGAAAUCUCUUAUAUCAAACCCAAGCUUCAAAGAAAGUCUCUCCCAACUCUUGAUGAAAAUGAAGGAUGGCAUUUCUAAGCUU